UACAGAGGUCUACGAGCGUUUAGGCGGAAAUCACUGGGCUUAAAGCGUGUGUAGGUGGAUACGUUAAGUACCUUGUGAAAUCCCACUGGCUUAACCGUGGAAACUGCUUGGAUAUACUGGCGGUCUUGAGCCAGCGUAGGGGCUACCGGAACAAAUGGUGGAGCGGUGAAAUGCGUAGAUAUCAAUUUGGAACGCCAAUGGUGGAAAACAGGUAGCUGGGGCUGAUGCUGACACUGGAGACACGAAAGCCAGGGGAGGCAAACGGG
rnacentral:rRNA from 1 species